UUUUCGUUCAGCAGAUAGAAACCCGGGAUAUUGAAGGCUACACUAAUUGCUGUGCAGAGCAGCUGUCAAAGGUUUGUCUUCUCAAACCAUGGAAAGCGUAAGUUGGGAAACUGAAAAAAUACUGGUCAAGGAAUCUGCCCUU
rnacentral:lncRNA from 1 species